rnacentral:rRNA from 1 species
UCGGGGGGACAGGGUGACAGGUGGUGCAUGGUUGUCGUCAGCUCGUGUCGUGAGAUGUUGGGUUAAGUCCCGCAACGAGCGCAACCCUCGACCUUAGUUGCCAGCGAGUCAAGUCGGGCACUCUAAGGUGACUGCCGGCUAAAGUCGGAGGAAGGUGGGGAUGACGUCAAAUCAUCAUGCCCCUUAUGACCUGGGCUACACACGUGCUACAAUGGGCGGUACAAAGGGUCGCGAACCCGCGAGGGGGAGCCAAUCCCAAAAAGCCGCUCUCAGUUCGGAUUGCAGGCUGCAACUCGCCUGCAUGAAGCCGGAAUCGCUAGUAAUCGCGGAUCAGCAUGCCGCGGUGAAUACGUUCCCGGGCCUU